rnacentral:rRNA from 1 species
AGUGGCGGACGGGUGAGUAACGCGUGAGAAUCUACCUUCAGGACGGGGACAACAGCUGGAAACGGCUGCUAAUACCCGAUAUGCCGAAAGGUGAAAAGUUAUUUCGCCUGGAGAGGAGCUCGCGUCCGAUUAGCUAGUUGGUGGGGUAAAAGCUUACCAAGGCAACGAUCGGUAGCUGGUCUGAGAGGAUGAGCAGCCACACUGGAACUGAGACACGGUCCAGACUCCUACGGGAGGCAGCAGUGGGGAAUUUUCCGCAAUGGGCGAAAGCCUGACGGAGCAACGCCGCGUGGGGGAAGAAGGUUUUUGGAUUGUAAACCCCUUUUCUCAAGGAAGAACAAAAUGACGGUACUUGAGGAAUCAGCCUCGGCUAACUCCGUGCCAGCAGCCGCGGUAAUACGGAGGAGGCAAGCGUUAUCCGGAAUUAUUGGGCGUAAAGCGUUCGUAGGCGGCUGUUCAAGUCUGCUGUCAAAGACCGAGGCUCAACCUCGGGUCGGCAGUGGAAACUGGAUAGCUAGAGGUCGGUAGGGGCAGAGGGAAUUCCCAGUGUAGCGGUGAAAUGCGUAGAUAUUGGGAAGAACACCGGUGGCGAAAGCGCUCUGCUGGGCCGAACCUGACGCUGAGGGACGGAAGCUAGGGGAGCGAAUGGGAUUAGAUACCCC